rnacentral:rRNA from 1 species
CGGAGGGUGCAAGCGUUAUCCGGAUUCACUGGGUUUAAAGGGUGCGUAGGUGGGUCUGUAAGUCAGUGGUGAAAUCUCCGAGCUUAACUUGGAAACUGCCAUUGAUACUAUAGAUCUUGAAUACCGUGGAGGUCAGCGGAAUAUGUCAUGUAGCGGUGAAAUGCUUAGAUAUGACAUAGAACACCAAUUGCGAAGGCAGCUGGCUACACGAAUAUUGACACUGAUGCACGAAAGCGUGGGGAUCAAACAGGAUUAGAUACCCUGGUAGUCCACGCCCUAAACUAUGGAUACUCGACAUUUGCGAUACACUGUAAGUGUCUGAGCGAAAGCAUUAAGUAUCCCACCUGGGAAGUACGAUCGCAAGAUUG